UACGAAGGUCCCGAGCGUUGUUCGGAAUCACUGGGCGUAAAGGGAGCGUAGGCGGCGUGGUAAGUCAGAUGUGAAAUCCCCAGGCUCAACCUGGGAACUGCAUCCGAUACUGGAUGGCUUGAAUUCGGGAGAGGGAUGCAGAAUUCCAGGUGUAGCGGUGAAAUGCGUAGAUAUCUGGAGGAAUACCGGUGGCGAAGGCGGCAUCCUGGACCGACAUUGACGCUGAUGAGCGAAAGCUAGGGGAGCAAACGGG
rnacentral:rRNA from 1 species